rnacentral:lncRNA from 1 species
UUUUUGUUGAUAGAUAGGUAUGCUUUUAGAAUUUUUGAUCAAUAUGUUAUAUCUUGCAGAUAUAUUAUCUAAAACCAACUAUUUUAGGAAAUAUAACAUUUUCGUAGAGAAAUAUUCUUGAUCUGGGAUUGUGAUUUAAAAAUUAAGAUAACAAGAGUUUUUGUUGAUAGAUGGGUAUCCUUUUAGAAUUUUUGAUCAAUAGGUUAUAAUUUUUAAAUAAAUUUUUCAAAACCUGCCAUUUUUGGAUAGUUACCAUUUUGUUGAUAAAUAUUGUAGAUUUGGGAUAGUGAUUUAGAAAUUAGGAUAACAAGAGCUUUUGUUGAUAAAUGGGUAUGCUUUUAGAAUUUUUGAUCAAUAGGUUAUAUUUUUAAAGUAAAAUUUUAGAAACUGCUAUAUUUGGAAAGUUAUCAUUUUGUAGAGAAAUAUUGUAGAUUUUGGAUUGAGAUUUAGAAAUUAGGAUAACAAGAGUUUUUGUUGAUAGAUGGGCAUGCUUUUAGAAUUUUUCAUCAAUAGGUUAUAUUUUUAAAAUAAACUUUUAAAAUUGUGAUUUAAAAAUUAGUAUAACAAGAGUUUUUGUUGAUAGAUGGGCAUGCUUUUAGAAUUUUUCAUCAAUAGGUUAUAUUUUUAAAAUAAACUUUUAAAAUUGUGAUUUAAAAAUUAGUAUAACAAGAGUUUUUGUUGAUAGAUGGGUAUGCUUUUAGAAUUUUUGAUCAAUUGGUUAUAAUUUUUAAUUAAAUUUUCCAAAACCUGCUAUUUCUGGAAAGUUACCAUUUUGUUGAUAAAUAUUGUAGAUUUAGGAUUGAGAUUCAAAAAUUAGGAUAACAAGAGAUUUGGUUGAUAUAUGGGCAUGCUUUUAGAAGUUUUGAUCAAUAGGUUAUAUUUUUAAAAUAAACUUUUAAAAAUUGAUAUAUUUGGAAAGUUAUCAUUUUGUAGAUAAAUAUGUAGAUUUGGAAUUGUGAUUUAGAAAUUCGGAUAACAAUAGAUUUUGUAGAUAAAUGGGUAUGCUUUUAGAAUUUUUGAUCAAUAUUGCGAUUUUGUAGGAAAAUAUUGUAGAUUUGGGAUUGUGAUUUAGAAAUUAGAAUAACAAGAGAUUUUAUUGCUAGAUGGGCAUGCUUUUAGAAUUUUUGAUCAAUAGGCUAUAUUUGUAAAAUAAACUUUUAAAAACUGCUAUAUUUGGAAAGUUAUCAUUUUGUAGAUAAAUAUUGUAAAUUUGAGAUUGUGAUUUUGAAAUUAGGAUAACAAGAGUUUUUGUUGAUAGGUGGGUAUGCUUUUAGAAUUUUUGAUCAAUUGGUUAUAAUUUUUAAAUAUAUUUUUCAAAACCUGCUAUUUUUAGAAAGUUUUCAUUUUUUAGGAAAAUAUUGCUGAUUUGGGAUUGUGAUUCAGAAAUUAGGAUAACAAGAUUUUUUGUUGAUAAAUGGGUAUGCUUUUAGA